rnacentral:rRNA from 1 species
GACGAACGCUGGCGGCGUGCUUAACACAUGCAAGUCGAACGGUGACCCAGGGCUUGCCCUGGUGAUCAGUGGCGAACGGGUGAGUAACACGUGGGCAACCUGCCCCUGACUUCGGGAUAACUCCUCGAAAGAGGAGCUAAUACCGGAUACGACCACUUCGGACAUCCGAUGGUGGUGGAAAGUUUUUCGGCAGGGAUGGGCCCGCGGCCUAUCAGCUAGUUGGUGGGGUAAUGGCCUACCAAGGCGACGACGGGUAGCCGGCCUGAGAGGGCGACCGGCCACACUGGGACUGAGACACGGCCCAGACUCCUACGGGAGGCAGCAGUGGGGAAUAUUGCGCAAAUGGGCAAAGCCUGACGCAGCG